rnacentral:rRNA from 1 species
ACGGAAGGCAGCAGUGGGGAAUAUUGCACAAUGGGCGCAAGCCUGAUGCAGCGCUGCCGCGUGAGGGAAGAAGGUUUUCGGAUUGUAAACCUCUGUCAACAGGGACGAAAAUGACGGUACCUGUGAAGGAAGCUCCGGCUAACUACGUGCCAGCAGCCGCGGUAAUACGUUGGGAGCAAGCGUUAUCCGGAAUUACUGGAUGUAAAGGGAGUGUAGGCGGGACUGUAAGUCAGAUGUGAAAUAUACCGGCUCAACUGGUAGACUGCAUUUGAAACUGCGGUUCUUGAGUGAAGUAGAGGUAAGCGGAAUUCCUAGUGUAGCGGUGAAAUGCGUAGAUAUUAGGAGGAACAUCAGUGGCGAAGGCGGCUUACUGGGCUUUAACUGACGCUGAGGCUCGAAAGCGUGGGGAGCAAACAGGAUUAGAUACCCUGGUA